rnacentral:rRNA from 1 species
CGGGGGAGCUAAGCGUUGUUCGGAUUUACUGGGCGUAAAGGGCGCGUAGGCGGCCACCGCAAGUCGACUGUGAAAUCUCCGGGCUUAACCCGGAAAGGUCAGCCGAUACUGCGGGGCUAGAGUGCAGAAGGGGCAACUGGAAUUCUCGGUGUAGCGGUGAAAUGCGUAGAUAUCGAGAGGAACACCUGCGGCGAAGGCGGGUUGCUGGGCUGACACUGACGCUGAGGCGCGAAAGCUAGGGGAGCGAACGGGAUUAGAUACCCUGGUAGUCCACGCCCUAAACGAUGUCAACUAGGUGUUGGGUGGGUAAAACCAUUUAGUACCGGAGCUAACGCGUGAAGUUGACCGCCUGGGGAGUACGGCCGCAAGGUUA